CCUGGCUGUUGAUCUCGGUGCGGCUGUGCCUAUUGCGUAGAUCGCCGCUGCAGACAAGGAGACAAGUAGGCAGGUGCACACGGCAAAGGAGAGGAAGAAUAGGCUUGCAAUCUCAUCGUUUGUGUUAGAUUUUGGAAAUGAACCCAGAGGAUGAAGCUGAAGAGGAUGGUGCUAACAUUGAUUUAGACUCACAAAGGAAAGGAAAAUGUGUUGUUGUGAAGACCUCCACGAGACAAGAAAUCAAAUUGAGAUUUUGCACAUCCAUGACGCGAUGGCGGGGUGUCUAGUUGCGGGCGGCGGUGGGGUAAUACUCCACUUGCGGGCGCUAGACUCAGGAUAUGGUGGUGGACUCCAUGAUAGGCAGCUCUUCCAGAGCGCCCACGGGCAUCUAGGCAUCUGUGAGGUUGAUGAAGAUGACGCUGUCCAGGCGAUGUAUUCACCGUCGUGUGGGAAAUACAAGGGGUACAAAUACUUGUAUGAAAGCUGCACGAAUCUCAGAAGGGAUCAAUGGGGUAGGGUGAAUGAUCAUCAGCCUAUGUGCUCACCUUGUAUGUUGAGCUUUUCCAAAGCAGAAAUCUUUUAGCAUGCUAUUGUAACAGUACAAAUGGGCUUAAACAAGAAUACUGUUGCAACACAUUGACACCUUACUGGUCAG